rnacentral:rRNA from 1 species
UACAGAGGUCUCAAGCGUUGUUCGGAUUCAUUGGGCGUAAAGGGUGCGUAGGUGGCGGGGUAAGUCAGGUGUGAAAUCUCGGGGCUCAACCCCGAAACUGCACUUGAUACUGCCUUGCUCGAGUACUGGAGAGGAGAUUGGAAUUUACGGUGUAGCAGUGAAAUGCGUAGAUAUCGAGAGGAACACCAGUGGCGAAGGCGAGUCCCUGGACAAAAACCUGACACUGAGGCACGAAAGCUAGGGGAGCAAACAGG